rnacentral:lncRNA from 1 species
GGUUAUUUAAAACGUUUAUGAGGACGGUAUGGGUUUUGGAACAAGUUAAGAAGGCUAAAACCAACAAUUUCAAAUGGAAAGGAGUAGCAAAAUAAUACAUGUGUUUUCUGGCGAUGCAGAGGACGAGUGGCACCACAUGAGCUGCAGGUGGUGAAUUGGUUAGCGGCAGGUGUAGCAGGAGCUGGUGAUACCCAAAGAAAAUGAUGAUGCAAAAAAAAAUGAUUAACUUGGUCGACUCCUAAUAUUUAGAUUGAUUGGGGUGGAGCCAGAACCGCUAACAUUUAGCAACCAAACACACCGAACAAUGCAUCUAUCAUACCUUAUUAAAAGAACGCUUGCUUAUUCCAAAUCGUAUCGAGAUAGCCUGCCGAAUCUGCUUUGGACAAUGACAUAUGUUACUUGAAACAAAAAGAGAAUAGAUUCCCCUAUUACAGGCAUGUCCAUCAAGUCAUCAACUACCAUGCUUGUUAUUUUGUUGCUAUUAAUUAACUAACAAUUCGUCGUGCCUACCAGCCCUAAGCUGAUAAGACGAAGCAAAGGGUUGGAAAAAGUUAGCAAUGAAGGAAGAGUAGUGUUUGCUCAAAAAAAAAAAAGAAGAAGAAGGAGGAAGAGUAGUGUGCCACACUCUCUCGACUCUUGCUGCUGUUCUGAAGAUGAUAGAUGAAAGGAGACCGCCUCCGUCCACAGCUAAAAUAGCUCAAAUUGUUACAGACUUACAAUGCACACAUAUGUUUCAAAGAAUCAAUGCAUACAGAUGUUUUAAAGUGUAAUUGGGCC